UCACUUCAGCAGCACAGAUCCUGAAUUUGGAACUAUACAGAGAAGAUAAGCAUGUCUCCUGUGUAAAAAUGACACACAAAUUCAUGAAGCAUUCCAUAUUUUA
rnacentral:snRNA from 1 species